GACGUAGGGCGCGAGCGUUGUCCGGAUUUAUUGGGCGUAAAGAGCUCGUAGGCGGCUUGUUGCGUCGACUGUGAAAACCCGCGGCUUAACCGCGGGCCUGCAGUUGAUACGGGCAGGCUAGAGUUCGGUAGGGGAGACUGGAAUUCCUGGUGUAGCGGUGAAAUGCGCAGAUAUCAGGAGGAACACCGGUGGCGAAGGCGGCUUCCUGGACCGACACUGACGCUGAGGCGCGAAAGCUAGGGGAGCAAACGGG
rnacentral:rRNA from 1 species